AGGGUUAUAGUGCCUCCAGAACUGGGAUACCCUGACAACGACUACAACAAGAAGGGACCUAAGCCAACAACAUUCUCGGGGCAAAGGGCAUUGGAUUUUGUGCUGAGGAACCAGGGACUUAUAGAUAAGACUCUGUUGUUUGAUAUUGAGCUCCUUAAAAUCGUAUCAAAUUGAAAGUUGCUGCUCUCGCUGAUUGUUGAACACUAUUUAGUGUUUAUAGCCAAAGGUUUGCCCGUUGUAGUUUUGAGGUACCGAAAUAUGGAAUGGCAAAGGAGUGUGGUUCCUGCUGA